GCGAAAGCGAGAAAGCGUUGCCGCAGGCAACGACCCGAAGGGCGAAGCGCGCAGCGCUGAGUCAUCCUUCCCCCACCACCA
rnacentral:sRNA from 3 species